CCAUGGCGUGCGCGACCCAGAUUUCAGAGGGACUUGGCUGCCAUUAGAAGGAGCCCUCGACCGGAAUCUCCAUUAAAUCGCUUCAUAUCGCAACUUUUGAAGAGUCGUCCAGGAUCGUCUCAGCCGAGUUCGCCGGAAGAAAAUCCGCCGCCCAAGCAUACUACAUCUGAGCCGGAAGAACAUCCCCUGCCCAACAUGCUACCCCAGAGAUCACAUCUUCCUUUGCUAGAACACGUGAGCUGAUUCCGACUUUGGCCUCAAGUUGCUCCCGUCAAUGACAAGUGGGAGGAGUGGGAGUGCUGUGUUCAUGAAAUUGAGUAUCUCAGAAGAAUUUGGUUUGGCACUUAUUUUCCUCAACCUGUUAUUCUUCAAAUGUGCUUCCCAUGGAUUUGAUAAAUUUGGUGAGAUAAUGUUAUGUGUCAGGUAUGGCCAUAAGAUACUCAUGAAACUUAUUUUAUUUUGCCUCACACAAGAUGUAUGUUGUUUAGACUCAUGUACUGCCAGUACUGGUAGAUCGAUGAUCUAAGGAUCAUAUGAAUGAUUAAUGGAGGAUAAUUCAUAUUCAGUUCUCCUCUCAAUUUUUGUGGUGCCAAGCUUGAUCUUUAUCCAUCUAACUGACUGAAAGUGCCUUCUAAUCACUAUUGAACGCAUAUGUUAGUUAGUUUGACUGUAUACACCACACAAAAAGUAAAAAAUGAAUUCUAGAAAAAAUUAGACACAAAUACUACAGAACCAGUGGACCCUCGAGAAACAAAAGGCACACCUAAAGGAUUUUUUUCUUAACAAAAUGUAUUAAUUUGACUAUUUGAGUAUAAAAAAUGUGCAAUCGCAAUCUUGCUUUUUCAAGGAAAACAGGGGACUGCUACAUACUCGAUAUGGAUCGAGGCUAAUUAUUGAUCUUCCAAGUUAAAAAAAUCUGAAAAUAACUUUCAUUUAGUAAUGGAUACAUAGUCAAGAAAGGAUGGCUUUCCCGAAAGAUACAAAACAAAAUCGUGUUCGUGUAUGUCCGGCUGACAGAUGAAUCGAUCUCCUUUCAAGUAUCAACCCAGCAACCUUCGUGUACGUACAUGUGUGCAUCAAGGAUGCACGGGUCCAUUGGCCUGCGUACCACACAUCCCUUCACUAAUUCCAUCAGUAUCAUUCUUAACAAGGUAAGUAUGAUUCCCUAAUCCCUGAUUUUAUUAAUUGAUCUUUGAUGCUUCAUCCCUAAUGUCGUUAUACCUUAUUGAUUCUAUAAAAGAUCUCAAACAGGAACAUACCAUUUUUGAGGCUACGAUUCCUAUAACUUGCCUUGUCAAUUUGAUAAAAUUACAUGUGUAAUGGAGGUUGUAACUUAUUACGGUUUACAUUGUCAGAAUGAUAUCUGUGUCAUCUUAUAUUUGGUGUGCCGGAUUUUUUGAUGUAGAUGCUAUAUAAGAGGAAGCUAUUCGACAAUCCUGCUCAAGUUGGGCAAAAGGAUGCUGUCAGAAUGUAAAAGCACAUUUAACCAUUUCCUGUUUUUUUCCUUGCCUGUUUUCGCCGUCGUAUACACUGCAUCUCCCACUGUAACGGACAGCCAAAUUUGUAUUCUUGAAAGUUUUAAUCAUUUCUAUUGCAACUAAGUGUUCAAGUGCAAUCUCUAGCCAAGUUCUCUUUGUUGUUGUGUUGAAUUUUGAGGAAAGGCGGCCAAGCAGCUCGUGGCAUCUGUGUCACGCCUGCUCUGCCGCUGCCUUGACCCGCCGACGACGUCGCCGGUUGAGCCGCAAGGGUGCAAGAUCAUCGUGGGGCCCAUUGCAUGGGCUCCGAGUAUGCUUGAUUGCCAUGUCGGAGGCGAAGGUGCUAGAGCUUGGUGGCGUGUUUGCAUUUCUGGAUGCAUGAAUAAUUGUCAAGGAGGCUGAAGCCAACGCUAUUACAGUUGGACUGAAGGAAUUGUAUAACGUAUUCUGAGGCUCCUUGGUGGUGGAGAUCGACUACGCAGUGGGGAAAUGAGCUAGGGGCUAAUUCUGUAAGCAGAUCAUUGUCCUACCCAAUUACUGUUGAUAUUAAAUCUGCGCUGAGUAAUUUUUAGGCAUUAUCACAUCAGAACUGUCAAGAGGGACAAACAAUGGGCUGGCUCAUGAACUAGCCAAUGAUGCUAAAGCUCAUGGAGACCUUGUGGUUGCGUAUGGUGUCCCGGACCAACUCCAUGAUCAGCUCUGGAAGGAAAACAAUGCAGCCUUGACGUCGGCCUAAGUCUUGA